rnacentral:rRNA from 1 species
UGGGGGAUAUUGCACAAUGGGCGAAAGCCUGAUGCAGCGACGCCGCGUGAGGGAAGACGGUCUUCGGAUUGUAAACCUCUGUCUUUGGGGAAGAAGAUGACGGUACCCAAAGAGGAAGCUCCGGCUAACUACGUGCCAGCAGCCGCGGUAAUACGUAGGGAGCGAGCGUUGUCCGGAAUUACUGGGUGUAAAGGGAGCGUAGGCGGGGGCGCAAGUUGGAUGUUUAAACGGUCGGCUCAACCGGUCGGUGCAACCAAAACUGCGGCUCUUGAGUGAAGUAGAGGCAGGCGGAAUUCCUAGUGUAGCGGUGAAAUGCGUAGAUAUUAGGAGGAACACCAGUGGCGAAGGCGGCCUGCUGGGCUUUAACUGACGCUGAGGCUCGAAAGCGUGGGGAGCAAACAGGAUUAGAUACC